UCAUAAAGGUCUUUACACACCGGGACGUUUUUCGUGCGCGUUUAUCGUCGACGUUUAACGUCUCGUGACUCAAGAACGAGCGCCAAUGUGAGUGCGCACACCCACGCGAAAAGCGCGAGGCGCAAAUGCGUCAUUUUCAGAAAAACGCGUGGGACACGUUUUUUUGGUUUGACGCGGCGCGUUAAAAGUUGGCCGACCAAUGAGAUUGGCGCUUUUGUUCACGUGCCUGGCGCUGCUGAAGUUCCAGUAAAACACGACUUGGUGGCGCUCAAGCACAAAUGGUCUUGCGGAGCACGUGGAACAGGUAAACACACAAGGAAGCAUCGAGGCUGUGGAGGUUUAUGAAGGUGUCAGAGUUCCUCACAACAUCGACUGAAUUUCGAAGUGUUCACAGCAAUAUUUCUGCUAAAAAUGAUGUGAGCAAAAGUGAGGAGGCCCCAGCAAGCACGUCUUCAGGAUCAUCCAGCACCAGCCGUGACAAGGUCCAAUCUAAACAAAAGAAAACAGUCCGAGACAAACCUCUGGAGGGUCCCUCUUAUUAAAAGAUGCUAAAGGGAAAAAAUUGAAAGCAGUGCACAGAAGAAAGAGGAGCACAGAAGGAGCGCUUUGCCAGUGUUUGGUCACACCUAUAGAUGUUUAUUAUAUACCAUUUUAUUUAGUUUUUAAAAAAAAUGUUUAUACAUUCAAGAAAUACAGAUGAACAUGUUCAUUUCAUACAUAUGUUUAUUUGCACUACCGUUCACUUAGACUUCUAUCAUUGUGACUUUUUUGCUCUACAGCUCUGCCAGUUCUUGUUCACACAAAUUGAUGCUUAUUAUAAACCAUUUUACGUAUGUAUUUUAAGUGUUUAUACAUUUUAGAAAUACAUUUGAAAAUGUCUAAUUUCUAAAUGUUGAUUUGCACUACCGUUCAGUUGCACUAUAGUCAUUGUGACUUUUCUGGACCAACAUUUCUGACUCCUGUUUUAUUUGAUUUUACUGUCAUGUCUCUGAUUGUUAUUGCAAACUGCAGUUCAUUCACAAAAAUAAAUGUUUGAUUAAAAAACGAA